rnacentral:rRNA from 1 species
CAGUAGCCGCGGUAAUACGUAGGUGGCAAGCGUUGUCCGGAAUUAUUGGGCGUAAAGGGCUCGCAGGCGGUUUCUUAAGUCUGAUGUGAAAGCCCCCGGCUCAACCGGGGAGGGUCAUUGGAAACUGGGAAACUUGAGUGCAGAAGAGGAGAGUGGAAUUCCACGUGUAGCGGUGAAAUGCGUAGAGAUGUGGAGGAACACCAGUGGCGAAGGCGACCCUCUGGUCUGUAACUGACGCUGAGGAGCGAAAGCGUGGGGAGCGAACAGGAUUAGAUACCCGGGUAGUCCCUGUCUCUUAUAC